GAUGAACGCUAGCUACAGGCUUAACACAUGCAAGUCGAGGGACCGGCGCACGGGUGAGUAACACGUAUCCAACCUGCCCUUUACUCGGGGAUAGCCUUUCGAAAGAAAGAUUAAUACCCGAUGUAAAGGAUGGGGAUGCGUUCCAUUAGGUUGGUGGUGAGGUAACGGCACACCAAGCAUUCGAUGGAUAGGGGUUCUGAGGGGAAGGUCCCCCACAAUUGAGAUGCGACACAGUCCAAACUCCGACGUGGGUGAGCGGAGAGGAAUAUAGGGCAAUGGGCGUUAGCCUGAACCAGCCGAGUAGCGGGAAGAAUGAAGGCUUAUGAGUCGUAAACUUCUUUUAUAUAAGAAUAUGUAUUAUAUGAAUAAGCAUCGGCUAACUCCGUGCCAGCCGCCGCGGUAAUAC
rnacentral:rRNA from 1 species